UGCCGAAGAAGCUGCUGCUUUGGGAAUAAUUGAGAAGCUGUCUGCUAAAUCAGGAAGCCACCCACUGGAUUAGGAAGCCAUGAAGUUGCCAGCUCCAGACACCACCAUUGACACACUUUAGAUCAGCACAAGUGGAUACUUCAUGUCCUGCUUCUCUUCUUUCCCCAUGGAACUCAGCUCUGAGUAAAAGUUAUAGCUGUAAAGUAAAUAAAGAAGAAAUUGAAAAAGAGGCAGUUAGAUGAUGACUUUUAUAAUUUUCAUGCAAGAUUUGUGUCUCCUGAAAAAGCUGCUAGAGAAGAUCAUCUUUACCCUUAACCAAGUACGUCAACUUGAUACUUUAAUGCAUUUGUUUUGUUGGAAUUGAGAGACUAAGGUGUAUUCCGUAAAAUGCAGAGUUCCUGUGGAUGAUAAAAUGGAAGACUGUAAUGACAGCUUGUUUUCAAGGUAUGAGAUUUGAAGGAAAUCAGAUCUUUUCUUUGCUUUUUUUUUUUCUUUAACACGAUAUCAUUAGCAGGACUUCAGUCUUUCCAUACUGUUUUAAUUAAUCAAUUAGUUAAUGAAAAUGCAACAACUUAGAUCUAAU
rnacentral:lncRNA from 1 species